AUGAGGAUUGUAAGUUGGAACUGCCGGGGACUCGGGAAUGGCCCGGCAGUUCGGGGCCUCUUGGAUCUCAAGAGGGUGGAGGAUCCCGAUGUCUUGUUCCUAUGCGAGACAAAGCUAGUGGAGAAGGAGUUGGAGCAGUACAGGUGGAAACUGGGUUUGGCUAAUAUGUGUAAGAAGGAUUCAGAGGGGAGGAGUCGAGGGGUAGCUAUUUUCUGGAGGAGGGGAGUUAAUCUCUCCUUACGGUCCUUGGGGAGGAGGCAUAUUGACGCUGACAUAACGGAGGAGGAUGGAUCAGUGUGGAGGAUCAUGGGGAUUUAUGGGGAGUCGCAGUGGGGGAGGAAGAAAGAAACAUGGAGGACGAUGCAUUUGCUAAGUCAACAACACCAGGAGGGUAGGUCGUGGCUCUGUCUGGGAGAUUUUAAUGAGAUCAUGUCAAAUGAGGAGAAGAGAGGAGGAGUGGAUCGAUCGGAGGGGUGCAUGAACCAGUUCAAAGAGGCUCUUGAGGGGUGCAAGUUAAGCGAUCUGGGAUAUGAGUGA
rnacentral:rRNA from 1 species